GCCGAAGUGGUGGAAGUUGGUAGACACGCCAGCUUGAGGGGCUGGUGGGCGCCAGCCCGUGUGGGUUCAAAUCCCGCCUUCGGCACCA
rnacentral:tRNA from 1 species